GAACUGAAACAUCUUAGUACCUGCAGGAAAAGAAAAUAAAUAAUGAUUCCCCUAGUAGUGGCGAGCGAACGGGGAAUAGCCCAAACCACCCAUGUUACGGCAUGUGUGGGGUUGUAGGACCACGCUCUCGCAAGAAAGUUAUUGAGAAGAAGCGGCUGGAAAGUCGCGCCAUAGACGGUGAUAGCCCGGUAUUCCAAGGUAACUGAAGCGUAGUGGUAUCCUGAGUAGCGCGGAGCACGAGGAAUUCUGCGUGAA
rnacentral:rRNA from 1 species